UUUGUAUAUCGAUCGAACGUCGAAAACGCUAUUUCCACGGGUGAAUUUAUUAACAUCGAUCACGCUCAACUACGAAAUAUAUUCUGCUGCGUUCCUUAACCUAACAACCAUACAAGCCAUCGUUAUUUUCGAUUAUACAAUGGAAGAACUACGACGUUCGCAUUUUCGUCAUCAAUUUUACUUAUUUACAAUGAGAAAUGAUAUUGGACACACGACAACGACGACUGAUCGAAACUUUACAAGCACGUGGGGAAGCCAUUGGAAAGAUGACGCAAUAUGUACGUACGACGGUCCACAUCUUUCUUGCUGCCGCUUACUCCGCCAUUCUGAAUUAUUUCGUGGCGUUUGUCGCAAGCCAGCUUCGUCCUCUCGUUGACUGCAGAUCGAAACAACGAACACGCGGGGAAGCCAUUGGAAAGAUGACGUAACGCGUACGCGCGACGGUCCAUAGCUUCCUUCCUGCCGCCUAAUCCGCCAUUCCAAAUCGUUUCGUGGCACGCGUCGCAACAGAGCUUCGUCCGUUCGUUAAUUGUAGUUAAUUAGAAUAGUUUAUUCAACGUGUACCAUUAUUUUACAUACCGAUCGAACGUCGAAAAAGCGAUAUCCGCGGAAUGGGAGAGGUACGACGUCUGGAUUUUCGUCUUCAAUUUUACUUAUUUACAAUGAGAAAUGGUGUUGGACACACGACGACGAGUGAUCGAAACAACAAACGCGGGGAAGCCAUUGGAAUGAUGACGUAACGCGUACGCGCGACGGUCCAUAGCUUCCUUCCUGCCGCUUAAUCCGCCAUUCUAAAUUGUCUCGUGCCAAGCGUUGCACUCGAGCUUCGUCCUCUCGUUAAUUAGAAUUAUUAGUUAAUUAGAAUAUUUUAUCUAACGUUCACUCAGAUUUUAUAUAGCGACGAAUACCAAAAAUGCGAUUUCCGCGAGUGAAUUUAUUAAUAACGAUCACGCUCAAUUGCGAAAUAUAACUUAUUCUACUGCGUUCCUUAACCUAACAUAAUCAUCUAAGCCAUCGUUCUUUCGAUUAUAGAAUGGAAGAGGUACGAUGUCCGGAUUAUCAAUUUUACUUACGUACAAUAAGAAGUGAUAUUCGAAACAGGACGACGAGUGGACAUAAAUUCUGUGAAUUUGUUCGUGAGCGUUAACGAUACAGUGUGCCCUGUGUUCCUAGAAAGAAGCAAGAUGGAUUCGGCUAGAGUUCAACAGAGUAGACGUCUUCCAUUUAAGUUUAUACAUUCAUUCUUCGAUUAAGCAGUGUUCUUUCAGCGAAACUUCUUUUAGUAAUUUGCCGUCAGAGUAUAUUUUUUGUUCGAUUGUACAUUUUUUGGGAAGUGCGUUUUAUAUACGUGGAAUAGUUGAUAAUUCGGAAUUCAUUCAAAUUGAUUAACGUUGAUGUAACAUUAUUUCUUUAAUUUUACAUUAGUGGAUUCUACAUGGAUUCUUUCAACCUUCAUCGUCGUCAUGUGAUUAAUAAUCGACAUCAUCAGGAUAGGGAGGAGUUGUGCACGGUCGUCACCGCGCAGUUGAAUCUUUCUAGACGCAACCCACUUUUUAUCGAGCACUUGUUUAUGGUCGAGAUUUGUCUCGUACCAUUUUCUGUGCAUUUACGCUGGUUGCUCUGCCUUCGUCCAGCAUUAUAAAAUAACCGAGGACAUUCUACUCUCCUCCUUAUUUUUUAGACCUGCUUCAGAUGUCGUUAAUUGAUCUCACGUCGAGGACGAUCGAUGGGAAAAUCUAUGUACGCGAACGCGCUUAAUCUACAUUAUUUUAACGAGUCGUCGUCCGUCUUGGAAUAUCACUGCGAAAUAAAAAUUGUAGACUUUUCGUUGAUAGUACAUGACAGAACGAAUACUGCUUAAAUCACGGAGUGGAUGUAUCAUUCGACGGAUCGUUUCCUGAUUGCUGUAAUGCGGUUGACAGUUCUUUAGCCAUCGAAAUGUUACAAGCACGUGGGGAAGCCAUUGCAAAGGUGACGUAAUGCGCAAGCGCAGCGGUCCACAGCCUCCUUGCUGCCUCAGAAUCCACCAUUUUGAAUAAUGAUUGGCACGUGUUAUGACGAAGCUUUUUUCUUGCAGGAUGGAAGAGGUACGAUGUUCGGAUUAUCAAUUUUACUUACGUACGAUAAGAAGUGAUAUUCGAUACAGGACGACGAGUGGGCGUAGAUUCUGUAAAUUUGUUCGUCAGCGUUAACAACACAGUGUGGCCCAUGUUCCUAGAAAGAAGCAAGAUUGAUUUGGCUAGAGUUCAACAGAGUAGACGUCUUCCGUUUAAGUUUAUACAUUCAUUCUUCGAUUAAGCAGUGUUCUUUCAGCGAAACUUCUUUUAGUAAUUUGCCGUCAGAGUAUAUUUUUUGUUCGAUUGUACAUUUUUUGGGAAGUGCGUUUUAUAUACGUGGAAUAGUUGAUAAUUCGGAAUUCAUUCAAAUUGAUUAACGUUGAUGUAACAUUAUUUCUUUAAUUUUACAUUAGUGGAUUCUACAUGGAUUCUUUCAACCUUCAUCGUCGUCAUGUGAUUAAUAAUCGACAUCAUCAGGAUAGGGAGGAGUUGUGCACGGUCGUCACCGCGCAGUUGAAUCUUUCUAGACGCAACCCACUUUUUAUCGAGCACUUGUUUAUGGUCGAGAUUUGUCUCGUACCAUUUUCUGUGCAUUUACGCUGGUUGCUCUGCCUUCGUCCAGCAUUAUAAAAUAACCGAGGACAUUCUACUCUCCUCCUUAUUUUUUAGACCUGCUUCAGAUGUCGUUAAUUGAUCUCACGUCGAGGACGAUCGAUGGGAAAAUCUAUGUACGCGAACGCGCUUAAUCUACAUUAUUUUAACGAGUCGUCGUCCGUCUUGGAAUAUCACUGCGAAAUAAAAAUUGUAGACUUUUCGUUGAUAGUACAUGACAGAACGAAUACUGCUUAAAUCACGGAGUGGAUGUAUCAUUCGACGGAUCGUUUCCUGAUUGCUGUAAUGCGGUUGACAGUUCUUUAGCCCACGUGGGGAAGCCAUUGCAAAGGUGACGUAAUGCGCAAGCGCGGCGGUCCACAGCCCCCUUACUGCCUCAGAAUCCUCGUUGAUUGCAGAAUGGAAGAGGUAGGACGUCCAGAUUUUCGUCAUCAAUUUUACUUAUUUACAAUAAUAAAUGGUGUUCGACACACAACAACGACUGGAUGUAGACGUGAUUUCUUUCGUUAUUGUUGACAUUACAUCGUGGCUAGUUUUCUUAAAAAUAAGCAAGAUGAAUUUAGUUACAUUCGAACAGAAUUGACAUCUUGACAGUACGAACGCUACUUAAAUCGUGGAAGGAAGCGUUCCUUGAUCUAACAACCAGCUAAGGAAUCAUUAUUUUCGAUGAUAGAAAGAAAGAAGUAUAAAGUUCAAAAUUUUCGUCAUCAGUUUUACUUAUCUAUGAUAAGCAAUGGUAUUGGACACAGGACGACAACUGAUAAGCAAUAGUUGACAUAUAUUAUUAUUUAUUUUCACGUUACCCUUUACGAUAACGUUUAGCUAAUUCUACAUUUAUUUUUUCAGGGUAUAGGCAUUGCGAUUUCGUCCGUUAUUGUUAACAAUGCAUCGUGGCCCGUGUUCCUUGAAAUAAGCAUGGUGAAUUUAGUUACAGUCGAACAGAAUUGACAUCUGUUUACACAUUCAUUCUUCGAUUAAACAGUGUUCUAUUAACGAUACUUUUACAUCGGAGUAUAUUUUUCUUCCGAUUACAUUUUUCAUUUAAUAUACAUCGAGUAGCUGAUAAUUCAAAGUUUAUUCAAGUUGGAUAACGUUAUCGUAACUUCAUUCCUUUAAUCGAUGAAAAAAUCUAUGUAAGCGAACGCGUCUUAAAUAACACUAUUUCAACGAAUCAUAUGGUCUCUCUUGAAAUAUCGCUGCGAAAUAGAAACGAUAGGCUUUUCGUCGAUAGUAUACGACAGAACGAACACUGCUUAAAUCGAAAUAUAUGUGUUAAUUGGGUCGUGGAUUCCCGGAUAGCAGUUCCGAAGUAUCACGCUCGUUAGAGCAAGAUGGUUCUUUAUUCUCUUGUCUGAUGAGGAAUACUUAACAUUUUGAUAUUUUUAUUAUAACACUAUUUUUAUUAACUUUGUUAAUUUUUUUUUUUUUCUUUUAGGAAGCCUAUGUUGUAAUUUCGUUCUACUGUUUGGAUACGGAUAAAAGAACAAUUCAACGCUCUAGUUGGAAAUGGUCUUUGUAAAAUUGCGACUCACGGAAAGCCUCCUUCCUCUAGGAUCUAUCAUGAAUAUGAAGAUGAGAGAGGAAAGAAAAGGAGCCAGGAAGAUGCGAUGGAAGCAAUAACGAAGGAUGGAAUCUUGAAGAAUCUUCCAUUGGGUUAAAAUCAGCAAGAAAACAACGCUUCCUUCAUUUUACCGAACCGAAAGAAGACUCGCCUCUCCUUCGUGCGUAUUGCUUCUUUAAAUCUGCUUAAGCUCCAACGUUCUACGUAAUUCUCGGCGAUUUUGCGCACCCCUAAGCGUUUCUGCGUGACACCCUAAGCGAUCCUGCGAUACCCUGAGCAUUUCUGCGAUACCCUGAGCGUUUCUGCGACACCCUGAGCGUUUCUGCGACACCCUGAGCGUUUCUGCGACACCCCGAGCGUUUCUGCGACACCCCGAGCGUUUCUGCGACACCCCGAGCGUUUCUGCGACACCCCGAGCGUUUCUGCGACACCCCGAGCGUUUCUGCGACACCCCGAGCGUUUCUGCGACACUACCUUGAGCGUACCUUGGAUACCCUAAGCGAUCUUGCAUGAUACCCUGAGCGUUUCUGCGACACCCUCAGCGUACCUGUGCAAUCCCUAACGUCGUAUUCUGUUCAAUUCUCAGCGUUUUGCGUAACCACCAGCAUUUCAAACGAUUCCCCUGCUUUAGUCUUGCGCAUAAUUGCGAUGUUUUACGAAAAAUUACAAGAUAGAAACAAAUUUGUUAGAAUCAUUGUUAUAAUAUUGUUGGAGUUUAUAGAGCGUUGAAAAAAUGAAACUUCAAUUGGAAGGUAGUACAUCAGUUGAUUUUUUCUUUCCGGAAUGUUAACAUAAAAUUGUUUUAUACUUCACAAGAUAUUACGUGCGGUGCAACGUUUAAGCGGUUGUAUUAUUGUUUAAAUCUUAUUUUAUAUCGACCAAUCGUAUAUUAUAGAUUCUUUAAAUAAUUGUAAAGUGAUAGAAAGCAUACAUAAACUUGGGUGCGUUAAGAAAACUAUUAUUUAAGUAUAAUUUUAUAUCGAACAAACGUAUAUUGUAAACCGUUUAAAUAAUUGUAUAGUGAUAAGAAGCGUAUAUAAACAAUGGUGCGUUGAGAAAAAUAUUUAAAUAUAAUUUUAACUCGAGUAAACGUAUAGUAUAGAAUGUUCAAAUAAUUAGUUAAACUAAUAGAAAGUAUACAUAAAUUCUGAUGCGUUGAGAGAAUUAUCGUUUAAUUAUAAUUUUAUACCGAACAAACGUAUAUUGUAAAAUUGUUUAAAUAAUUGUAAAGUGAUAGAAAGCAUACAUAAAUUUGAUGCGUUAAGAGAAUUUUAGACCACCGUUGGGCGUAUCGAAAACCGUCGUCCAGUAUUUAUCCGUAACAACAAACAUCUUUUUAGACAAUUCUUAGGAUAUCGCGUGACCCCAGCUUCGCGAAUAAUUGAAAUGCUCAUAUACUAAAAAAGAAAAAAUAUUUUUAUCAUUGUAAUAAGAAAGCGUCGAAAAAAAAGGAAGGCAGUAUGUAAGCAGAUUUCUGUUCUGCGAAACGUUCGAUUAAAAUUAUUUUCUACGUACUACGAGCGGUAUAAAGCUUGAGCGGCGGGGUUGUAUUCUGUAAAUAUUAGUUUGAUACUACCGAGCGUACAUAUGUAGCGUACAUUGCUUAAAUGAUUGUAAAACGACAAAAAAUAAAAAUGAUCUAGGUUUAGCGCGGUUCAACGCGGUCCAACGCGUGUACCGGAAAUUUUAGGGCAUGGUAGAGCGUUUCAACUACCGUGAAUCCAUUCGUGCGUAAUUAAGCGUGUUGCGUAAUUCCGAACAGAUUGGCGUAACCCUUAGAAAUAUUGCGUAAACCCCUAACCCUUAUUUAGGUAAAUUCUCUGGCUCUGCCAGACGCAACGCAGCGAUUUCGCCCACUACGUGGUUUGGCGUAAGUAUCCAUUUGGCAAGGUAUGGUUUUUUUUUACACGUAAGUCCUAUCGAUUUUUCGCAACGUCCGACGUGGACACCCAGAGUUUUGUCUUUUUCAGGUUAUCUGCAACCUCGGAGUUAUUUAUUUACCUACAUACUAUCGAGAUUACUGAAGCGAUGGUAUUUUUUUUGCAUAAUGUUAAGGGCAUUGCGUCUGGGUUGCGUCUGGGUUGCGUCUUCAGUAGUUUCUUUUUUUUUUUGUAUGAAGCCCACCGUAUCUAUAUAAUCCUUACAAAUUUUGUGUAAACCUUUGCGUGUAUUCAGCCGAACUUCUGUGGUCUAACUUCGGUGUAAUCCAGACGCGACCCAACGAUUUGCAGUAAGUAUUUUUCUCACUUAAUGCCUUUAUGUUCGUUCCGUAAUUCUACGCGUGUUGCGUAAAUUGCAUAGUAUCUGCAACCCGCAGCUCAUUUUCCUAGGUACCAGCGAAGUUAUUUAAACUGCGGCAUUUUUUUUUUCAUAGUUCGGGAUAUUUUCGUUUUAUCCGAAGAAUCCGCGUUUUUAUAUAGCCUAACGUCUCUGUGUAAACCAUGGCGUGUAUUUAGCUUCGUUUUAGCGUGUCUACUUAACUCUAACGUUUCCACAUUAUCACUUAGUUAUCGACCAUAUUUUUUUUUUUUUAACGUGAUCUCUAUUCGUCCCGUAAUUCUUCGCGUAUAUAGUAAUUUGGAGGGUAUUUAGAGCCCUAGCUUAUUUUCCAUGAUACUGGAUGGGUUACUUACGCGACAGAAUAUUUGCAUAGUCCCAGGGGUACUUCCGAUGAAUCGUUGCAAUGUCCAACUUCUUUACAACGCCAAGCGAUUUUGCGAAACCUUUGCACGAUUUGAAAGCCCUAGUGUAACGUAGCGUAACGUAUUUUUACAUAACGAUCCCGAGAUUUGUCGAAAGUACUUUUUUCUUUUUUCAUAAUGCUUGUCGGAGGUUUUUCUUUUUGACAUUCUUAACAGCUGCGUUAUUCGUAGAAUACUCUAAGCAGCUUAUUUUCGUAGAUACUAGCUAGGUUAUUGAAACGACAGCAUUUUUCUUUUUUCUUUUUUAUAAUUCGUAGGGCACUCGUUAGAUCCGACGAAUCUGCGUAAAUACUAGGGUUUUACUCGUAGAUGACCGUGUACUUUCAUGUGUAUCUGCAACUAUCAGCUUAUUAAUCGAGGAUAUUACCGAGGUUAUAUGAUCGACUGCAUUUUUUUUGCAUAAUCUGUGGGGCACUCGCGUUAUUUCCGAAGAAUCUGCGUAAAUACUAGGGUUUUCAGGAAAUGCAGCGUUUCUGUGUAAUCCUUGUAGAUUUGGCGUCGGUAAUAGGGCGUAUUUAGGUAGCCUCGGAGAAUGCGGCGUAAUCCGAUUGUUUCCGCAUUACCACCCUGUGAUUUCGCGUAAGUACUUGCCUUUGUACGUAAUACUUGUGUAAAUUCCUGUCGGUUUUCGAUAACUCGUAGAUGACCGUGUAGUUCCCGUGUAUUUACAACUGUCGGCUUAUUAAUCGAAGAUAUUACCGAUGUUAUAUGAUCGACUGCAUUUUUUUUUUUUUGCAUAAUCUGAGGGGCACUCGCGUUAUUUCCGACGAAUCUGCGUAAAUACUAGGGUUUUCAGGAAAUGCAGCGUUUCUGUGUAAUCCUUGUAGAUUUGGCGUCGGUAAUAGGGCGUAUUUAGGUGGCCUCCGAGAAUGCGGCGUAAUCUGAUUCUUUCCGCAUUACCACCCUGUGAUUUCGCGUAAGUACUUGCCUUUGUACGUAAUACUUGUGUAAAUUCCUGUCGGUUUUCGAUAACUCGUAGAUGACCGUGUAGUUCCCGUGUAUUUACAACUGUCGGCUUAUUAAUCGAAGAUAUUACCGAGGUUAUUUUAUCGACUGCAUUUUUUUUUUGCAUAAUCCGCGGGGCACUCGUUAUAUCCGACGAAUUUGCGUAACUACUAGCAUUUUCAUAAAGUCCGGCAUUUCUGCGUAACCUACAGAUUUUACAAAAAUCUAAGUACGCAAUCUACAGCGUGGGACAUAACCCCACUGUCUUCGCUUUACCAUCCGGUGAUUAGAAGUAUUUGUCCGUUUUCUUUUUAGGUAAUCCCUCGGUUUUUCAAUAAUUCCUAACGUACCGACGUAGUUCCUAGGUUUAUCAGCAAUACCCAGGUUAUUUUCUUAGAUACUAGCGAGGUUACUUAAACGACAUUUUUGGCCUCCGAGCUUUCUCCGUAAUCUCAUUUUUUUCCGCAUAACCAUCUCGUGAUUUCGCUCAAGUAUAUUGUUUUUCCGUAAUGGAUGUCGAUUUUUCCUAACUCCUAGAUGAUCGUGUAAUUUCCAGGAUAUCUGUAACGAUCAGCUUAUUAAUUCUAGAUAUUAACGAGGUUAUUUAGUCGAUAGCAUUUUUGAAUAGUCCCUGAGGCGGUUGCAUUAUUUACGUAGACUAUACGAACUACCAGCAUCUUUAUAAAGCUCAUCGUUUCUGGGUAACCCUUACAGAUUUUGGCUUAUCCGACUGGCGAUUUGAAGUAAGUAUUUGUGCUUUAUUUUUUAUUCUUAUGUAAUAUCUGUCUUCAAUAAUUACUAAUAUACCGACGUAAUUUCUAGGUUAUCCGUAGUACCCAUCUUAUUUCCCUAGAUUCUAGAGAGGUUACUUAAACGACAACAUCGUUGCAUAAUCCCAGGGGCAUAUUCGUUAUUUCCUACGAAUCAAGUAACGACCAGCGUCUUCAUAAAAUGCAGCAUUUCUGUAUAUCCUCAUAGAUUUGUCGUCAAUCCUAGAACGUAUUUAGGUGUCCUCCGAGCGUCAGGCGUAACGUCAUAGUGUCCGCAUAAGCGAAUAAAUUUGUUUUUACCUAA